UGAGAUUAUUUUUGCUUAUCUAUUUUCUUGAUAUUUUUCAACAAAUGAGUACUAGUUUAAUAAGAAAAACAAUGAUGUUAUCUUUUUUUUUAUAAAAUCAAUGAAUUUUAUUAACAGUCUCCCAUUUGUCCUUUGAAAAUUUGAUGGCUAUAUACAUUAGUAAUUCUGUAACAGGUACUUGAUUUUCAAAAUGAAAAUAGAUCAGAUAGUUUUUUUUAUAUAAAACAAAGCAAAAAAGGGUCAUAUAAAGUAUCACAGGGGCUUACUUUAUUAAUAGGUAAGCCAUAAAUAUCCUGAUGAAUUAUUUCCUGAUGAGAAAUAAGAAUUACCCUGGCUCAGGGUUAUAUUUUCUUGGAAUAUCAUCAAAGCAUAAGCAAUUCACAUAGCUAUUCUAACUUUGCAUUUUAAGGAGUAGUUUUUAACAUUCCUGCAUAGAUAAGAUAGCUCCUGGAAGCUUCCCAGUGCUUAACUAUUUCUUUGAUGACUCAAUAUAGUGGUUGAUUUAUUAAUAUGAAUGUUAAAAUGAUAUAUAUUUAUUAGAUGUCUAUUAGGUAUUUAGAUACUAACUGCUGAGUGUGAGGUAUGGCCUCUGACAUAAAGGAGCUACAGUAUUUUGGGGGAAACAACUAAUAUGAGAAAAAUAGAAUAAAUUUUUUAAAGAAUAUAAUCCAAACGUGAGUCGACUGAAGAGACAGGAGCCACGGUAUUUGUAUAAAGCAAAUGAUACAUGUAGGCUGAGCGUUUGGGGAAAGGGGCAACUUGCCCUGCUUUGGAAAGAAGAGUAGGAUUUGGGUUGAGAGAGGAGAGGGGAAGCAUUUCAGCUAGAAGGAUGAAGGUCUAGAGUCCACUGGCCGAAUGUGGUAAUUGUGGUUGUGUUUACUGCCUUUUCUCCGAGUCAGGGAUUUGGUCCUCCUAGGGCAGUGAGGAUGUCUGGCUGGAAGAGUCCUGUCUCUCUGAAAAGGAAACAGUGAGAGAAGAUGGCAGGACCGGCUUUUCGUUGAGAAAACUUGAGAAAGAAGUGAGACAUCAGGAGAGUGGUUUGAAGGCUGUCUACACAAUAAGUCACUAAGAAAAUGUCUUUAGGGAAAUACAAACUAAAGUCAAUGAGUCAUCACCACACACUCACUGGGGUGGCUAAAAUUAAAAGGAUGGCCAAUACUAAGUGUUGACAAAAACGUGGGGCUACCCGAAUCAUCAUAUACUGCUAGUUAGAAUGUAAAAUGAGAAGAUCACUUUGGAAAUCAGUCUGACAGUUUCUCAUAGGUAAAAAUACACUUAACCUAUGGGUUAGCACUGAUAAUUUUAGGUUUUACCCCAAAACAAAUGAACACACAUGUCAACAAGUAGAUUUGUGUAAGAAUAUUUAUAGCAUCCUUAUACAUAAUAGCCUAUCAUUCAUAUGUCCAUCAAUAAAAAGUGGAGAAAUAAUUGACUUAUCCUUUCAAUGGCAUAUUACUCAGCAAUAAAAAAAACAUAAAAAUACUGAUGUCCAUGAAUAAUAUGGUUAAUUCUCAAAAUGCUGAACUAAAGAAGCCUUUCAUGGAAGAGGACAUGCCCAGGACUUCAUUUCUAUGGCAUUCUAGAAAGGAUAAAACUCAUUUCUGAUGAAAUAAAUCAAAGUAGUGGUUACUCUCUGGGGGAAGUGACCGGAGGAAGGAAGAAAGAAACUUUCUGGGGUGAUGGACAUGCUCUAUAUUUUGAUAUGAGUACGAGUUGACACAUUGGUGUAUGUCUGUCAACACGGUGCACGUACAUUUCCGAUUUGUGCAUUUCAUUGCAUGUAAAUAAAUACUCGCAU